AUUUCACUUCUUGCCAAUCUUUAAAUUUAACAGAUGGAAUUUUACUGUGUCAAGAAGCAUUGAAUGCUGAGCGGGAGCUAUGUCAUCCAGAUACAGAUCUCUGCAGAUUUGAUGCUACAGAUGAAGAGUUGAGAUUGUGUCAGGCCUGUGGGUUUGAAUUUGACAUGUGUGAGUGGACGUCAGAAGCAUCUGCUGGCCAAAUUUCCUGGAUGCGCACAAAAGCGAGAGAGAUCCCUGCAUUUGAAUCCACACCUCAGCAGGAUCAAGGAGGUGAUGAUGAAGGUUAUUAUGUAUGGGUAGGCGCUAAGCAUGCUUUCACUCUUAACCAUUUAGAC